AUCCAACUGACUAGUCUCAAAUAGGAUGAAAGGCGCGUCAAACUGGAU
rfam:Schistosoma curassoni strain Dakar, Senegal genome assembly, scaffold: SCTD_scaffold0003067